rnacentral:rRNA from 1 species
GAUGAACGCUGGCGGCGUGCCUAAUACAUGCAAGUCGAGCGAACAGACGAGGCGCUUGCUCCUCUGACGUUAGCGGCGGACGGGUGAGUAACACGUGGAUAACCUCCCUAUAAGACUGGGAUAACUUCGGGACACCGGAGCUAAUACCGGAUAACGUGUUGAACCGCAUGGUUCAACAGUGAAAGACGGUUUUGCUGUCACUUAUAGAGGGAUCCGGGUCGCAUUAGGUAGUUGGUAAGUUAACGGCUUACCAAGGCAAGGAUGCGUAGCCGACCUGAGAGGGUGAUAGGCCACACGGGAGCGGAGACACGGUCCAGACUACUACGGGAGGCAGCAGUAGGGAAUCUUCCGCAAUGGGCGAAAGCCUGACGGAGCAACGCCGCGUGAGUGAAGAAGGUCUUCGGAUCGUAAAACUCUGUUAUUAGGGAAGAACAAAUGUGUAAGUAACUAUGCACGUCUUGACGGUACCUAAUCAGGAAGCCACGGCUAACUACGUG